CGGAGAGUUUGAUCCUGGCUCAGGAUGAACGCUAGCGGCAGGCCUAAUACAUGCAAGUCGAACGGUAAGGCUCCUUCGGGAGUACACGAGUGGCGCACGGGUGAGGAACGCGUAUACAAUCUACCUUUUACAGGGGGAUAGCCCAGAGAAAUUUGGAUUAAUACCCCAUGGCAUAUAAUUAUGGCAUCAUAUUUAUAUUAAAGAUUGGGCGGUAUUGGAUGGCCAUGCGUCCCAUUAGCUAGUUGGUAAGGUAACGGCUUACCAUGGCUACGAUGGGUAGGGGCCCUGAGAGGGGGAUCCCCCACACUGGUACUGAGACACGGACCAGACUCCUACGGGAGGCAGCAGUGAGGAAUAUUGGACAAUGGGCGAGAGCCUGAUCCAGCCAUGCCGCGUGCAGGAAGACGGCCCUAUGGGUCUUAAACUGCUUUUAUACGGGAAGAAAAAGGCCCUCGUGAGGGAGCUUGACGGUACUGUAAGAAUAAGGACCGGCUAACUCCGUGCCAGCAGCCGCGGUACUACGGAGGGUCCGAGCGUUAUCCGGAAUCAUUGGGUUUAAAGGGUCCGUAGGCGGACAUAAUUAAGUCAGGGGUGAAAGUCUGCAGCUCAACUGUAGAAUUGCCUUUGAUACUGUUUGUCUUGAGUUAUUAUGAAGUGGUUAGAAUGUGUAGUGUAGCGGUGAAAUGCAUAGAUAUUACAUAGAAUAACAAUUGCGAAGGCACAUUACUAAUAAUAUACUGACACUGAUGGACGAAAGCGUGGGGAGCGAACAGGAUUAGAUACCCUGGUAGUCCACGCCGUAAACGAUGGUUACUAGCUGUUCGAACUUCGGUUUGAGUAGCUAAGCGAAAGUGAUAAGUAACCCACCUGGGGAGUACGUUUGCAAGAAUGAAACUCAAAGGAAUUGACGGGGGCCCGCACAAGCGGUGGAGCAUGUGGUUUAAUUCGAUGAUACGCGAGGAACCUUACCAGGGCUUAAAUGUAGAUUGACAGGACUAGAGAUAGUUUUUCCUUCGGGCAAUUUACAAGGUGCUGCAUGGUUGUCGUCAGCUCGUGCCGUGAGGUGUCAGGUUAAGUCCUAUAACGAGCGCAACCCCUGUUGUUAGUUGCCAGCGAGUGAAGUCGGGAACUCUAACAAGACUGCCGGUGCAAACCGCGAGGAAGGUGGGGAUGACGUCAAAUCAUCACGGCCCUUACGUCCUGGGCUACACACGUGCUACAAUGGCCGGUACAGAGAGCAGCCACUGCGCGAGCAGGCGCGAAUCUAUAAAGCCGGUCACAGUUCGGAUUGGAGUCUGCAACUCGACUCUAUGAAGCUGGAAUCGCUAGUAAUCGCAUAUCAGCCAUGAUGCGGUGAAUACGUUCCCGGGCCUUGUACACACCGCCCGUCAAGCCAUGGAAGCUGGAAGUGCCUGAAGUCCGUCACCGCAAGGAGCGGCCUAGGGUAAAGUUGGUAACUAGGGCUAAGUCGUAACAAGGUAGCCGUA
rnacentral:rRNA from 1 species